UCGGUUGCUCAACGAUCGAAUUGCCUUUGAAACUGUCAGGCUCGAGUAUGGAUGCGGUAGNCGGAAUGUGUAGUGUAGCGGUGAAAUGCAUAGAUAUUACACAGAACACCGAUUGCGAAGGCAGCUUACCAAACCAGCACUGACGCUGAAGCACGAAAGCGUGGGGAGCGAACAGGAUUAGAUACCCUGGUAGUCCACGCCGUAAACUUUGCUCACUCGCUGUUGGCGAUAGACAGUCAGCGGCCAAGGGAAACCGAUAAGUGAGCCACCUGGGGAGUACGGCCGCAAGGUUGAAACUCAAAGGAAUUGACGGGGGCCCGCACAAGCGGUGGAACAUGUGGUUUAAUUCGAUGAUACGCGAGGAACCUUACCUGGGCUUAAAUGUGAAGUGCAUUGAUUGGAAACAAUCAUUUCCUUCGGGACCCUUUACAAGGUGCUGCAUGGUUGUCGUCAGCUCGUGCCGUGAGGUGUCGGGUUAAGUCCCAUAACGAGCGCAACCCCUAUUGUUAGUUACCAGCGCGUGAUGGCGGGGACUCUAGCGAAACUGCCGGUGUAAACCGCGAGGAAGGUGGGGAUGACGUCAAAUCAGCACGGCCCUUAUGUCCAGGGCUACACACGUGUUACAAUGGCCGGUACAGCGGGCAGCUAGGCAGCGAUGUCAUGCUAAUCCCGAAAGCCGGUCCCAGUUCGGAUUGGAGUCUGCAACCCGACUCCAUGAAGGUGGAAUCGCUAGUAAUCGCGCAUCAGCCAUGGCGCGGUGAAUACGUUCCCGGGCAUUGUACACACCGCCCGUCAAGCCAUGGAAGUCUGGGGUGCAUGAAGGCCGUAACCGCAAGGAGCGGUCUAGGGUAAACAGAUGACUGGGGCUAAGUCGUCACAAG
rnacentral:rRNA from 1 species